rnacentral:rRNA from 1 species
GAUGAAGGACGAAGGCUAGAGGAUCGAAAUCGAUUAGAUACCGUUUUAGUUCUAGCAGUAAACGAUGCCGACUGGACGGGACUAUAUAGUGUUGUGCAUGAGAAAUCUUGAGUAUGUGGGUUCUGGGGAUAGUAUGCUCGCAAGAGUGAAACUUGAAGAGAUUGACGGAAGGACACCACAAGGAGUGGAGUGUGCGGCUUAAUUUGACUCAACGCGGGGCAACUUACC